CAGCCGAACUGGGUCCAUACCUUGCUCUCACGUUUAUGGUAGUAAUCAGAUCCAAGAAUCUGGUAAACUUUUGCUAUCUACACUGCUGCUUCAGGGGCAAGUUAGAAACAAUAAAGGACGAGAAAAGUAUUCUCUAGUCAAUAUUCGAUUGGAUUUAUAAACUUCAAAAUUGUACUUAUUCAUAGACGUAAUCAUGAUGUGCUUUAGGCAAUGUCUUUCAUGAUUAGACAGUCCGUAGGAGCGAGCCAAAAAGCCAUGGAAUCCUCGAUUGGGAGGUAUGUCCAUUUGUAAUACUUUGAGCAUAAGUCUUCGAAUGAAGAUCAUGGCGGAGGCUGAUUCAGCUCUUCCAUGCCAUUGUUCGCGUCAAUGGUUUCUCAACUUCUUGAUAGUCAAGUGGAGAUUCAAGUCUUGUACCCCACAUAAAGUGGUUUCUAUUAGAAAACGUCCAAAUCAGGAAAAUCGAACUUGUGACGAUUCGACAAUCCACUGAAUUUGGAGGGAACAAGGUUGUGAUUGGUGCUAUGGGAAUGAAUCAUCCAUAAACAUCAAAGUUAGAACAUUCAAGUUCUAAGACAUGGUUUUCAUGAAAAAAACGUCGGGUUUUUAUGGGUGUAUUGUUUUAUGAAAUCUUCGGGUUUCAAAGGCACUAAAUUUGAAACUACAGGUUCAAUUUAGUUUAUGAACGUUUAGUUCAUAAAGGAGAGGAUCCAGUAAGAAACACAGAAUGCAAUAUACUAACUUAGUGUAGUGGAUUGAGUUGCUUCAGAAACUCAAGUGUGAGUGCUUCGGAACUACGAAAGUGAGUCAAUGGUUCAAAGAAUAGAAAUAAAUUAUUGAAUAGUUAAUGUCCAAAAGUGAUCUUCAGGUCAAUAAUUUUGGAUUCAUUAUCAGAUUAAUGAACUGCAGGUCACUUUUAAUUAAUUCAAUAAAUCGGGCCAUACGGAGUCGAUUGUAGAAGCAAAAUAAUAUUAACAUAUGGGUUAAAUUAUUUUAGAAUGCUAAAAUAAUAGCAUUUGGAUUGAAAAAUAUGCCCCAAAAAUAUUUAGGCAUGGGUGGGUGUCUUAAGCAUAAGACACGGCCCAAUAGGGGUCACGGGGUGGACUUCAGGUCAC
rnacentral:lncRNA from 1 species